rnacentral:rRNA from 1 species
CCUACGGGAGGCAGCAGUGAGGAAUAUUGGUCAAUGGGCGCGAGCCUGAACCAGCCAAGUCGCGUGAGGGAAGACGGUCCUAUGGAUUGUAAACCUCUUUUGUCGGGGAGCAAAAGACGCCACGCGUGGCGUUCCGAGAGUACCCGAAGAAAAAGCAUCGGCCAACUCCGUGCCAGCAGCCGCGGUAAUACGGAGGAUGCGAGCGUUAUCCGGAUUUAUUGGGUUAAAAGGGUGCGCAGGCGGAAGAUCAAGUCAGCGGGAAAAUUGAGAGGCUCAACCUCGUCGAGCCGUUGAAACUGGUUUUCUUGAGUGAGUGAGAGGUAUGCGGAAUGCGUGGUGUAGCGGUGAAAUGCAUAGAUAUCACGCAGAACUCCGAUUGCGAAGGCAGCAUACCGGCGCUCAACUGACGCUCAUGCACGAAAGUGUGGGUAUCGAACAGGAUUAGAUACCCGGGUAGUC